GAUGAAGAACGCAGCGAAAUGCGAUACUUGGUGUGAAUUGCAGAAUCCCGUGAACCAUCGAGUCUUUGAACGCAAGUUGCGCCCGAAGCCACUAGGCCGAGGGCACGCCUGCCUGGGCGUCACACGUCGUUGCCCCCCCCCCAUCUACUCCUUCGGGAUUGCGGGGGGCGGAUGAUGGCCUCCCGGGCGCCUAGCCGCGCGGUUGGCAUAAAUACCAAGUCCUCGGCGACGCACGCCACGACAAUCGGUGGUUGCGAAACCUCGGUUGCCCGUCGUGUGCGUUCGUCGCGCAUCGAGGGCUCGAAAAAAUGCUCGGCUCCGGCUCGGCUUUCAACGCGACCCCAGGUCAGGCGGGGUUACCCGCUGAAUUUAAGCAUAUCAAUAAGCGGAGAA
rnacentral:misc_RNA from 1 species